UGGUAUGGGAAAACUGGGGAAUGAUACCAUCGUUUCCUGUGAAAAACAGGAUGCAAAUGGACAUCCCUGCUCCCACUUAUCUGCUAGCAAGGUCGGGAAGAUGGGAACAAAGGAGUUUCUGCUGAGAUCCCAGAGCCAGGAGCUGCUGCUCCAAGGAGAGCUGACUCAGCUGCUUUGGACUUAUAAAUAAGUUUGUACUGUCAUUGAAAAGACAUCAUUGUCAAUGGAACAACAACACCCAAUGGCCCACCACUACUGAAGAUCAAUGACUGAACUGCGAUCCACGCUGGACCCAUGGUGGCUGCAGGACAGCAAAUGCACUCUUGAGUAGUAGAAGUGUCUGACUUUCACGUGCUACAGACCACAGCAACUUUUCCUUAUGUAGUGACCAGUGGUAUGCUGAAGAAGGCAUGGAGGACUUUGAAUUGGGUUUUGAAUUGGAUGCCACCCUGCUGUAUGCUGAAGGAAGUGUCAAAACAAGGAACAAGUGAAAAUGCAGACCUAAGAAGUGUGCAGAUUUUGCUCACCCACAGAAUGCCAUAUUGUUGCCAGACAAACUUCAGCCCAAAUAAAACUCCUUAACACCAAUAUAGUAUUAAGAAGCAGGCAUUACUUUUUAUUACAACACUGGAUACAUGGGGGAUAUUUCCACCAAAGUCAAUGGAAAAAAGGUACGUUGUUUAUCUACAUUUGUGUAAACCAUGUCUGUGCGUUUGGAGAGAGGUCUACAGUUGU